CUGCGCCGCAGCUUUUGGGAUCUUAGUUCCCCGACCAGGGAUUGAACCCGCGUCCCAGGCAAUGAAAGCACCAAGUCUUAACCACUGGACGGCCAGAGAGUUCCCUCAGAGGAGGAGAUGGCGAGCCUGUGUCCAAGCCCAUCCCCACGACCCAUCCUCCCGCCCCUGUCCCAGAGGUCAGAGCCCUACCCUGCUGGGCCUCAGCCGGCGACAGGAGCAGGGUGCAGAGCAGAAGGGUCUCCAGGGUCCCCAUGGCACGGAGGAUCCAGCCAGUCCAGGUUGCCAAGGGCUUGGUGGAGGCCAGGUGGAGUUAGGCUCUGGGACUAUGGAGGAAACCAGAGUGUGGAAAUAAAUCAGUGUCCAGGGCUUCCCUGGUGGCACAGUGGUCAAGAAUCCGCCUGCCCAUGCAGAGGACAUGGGUUCGAGCCCUGGUCCGGGAAGAUCCCACAUGCCACGGAGCAACUGAGCCCAUGCACCACAACUACUGAGCCUGCACCACUCUAGAGCACGCGAGCCACAACUACUGAGCCCACAUGCCUAGAGCCCGUGCUCCACAACAGGAGAAGCCACCGCAAUGAGAAGAAGCCCGCGCACCACAACAAAGAGUAGCCCCCGCUCUCCGCAACUAGAGAAAGCCCGCGCACAGCAAUGAAGACCCAACACAGCCAAAAAUAAAUUAAAAAUAAAAUUAAUUAAUUAAAAAAAAUCAGUGUCCAGCCACUGGAGUCCACCAGCCAAGAAAGAGAACGUUCUCUGUCAAGACAGCACAGAUCAAAGGUGAACGGGCUCUGAUGGGCACAAGUCUGGUUUAUACAACCGCCAAAGGGGCUGGAACCGGCUCCCGGGCUGGAGGGCAGGGCCCGGCUCAGCCCAGCUUCCAGAAGGAGCUUCGGGCUGGUGGGUCUUUGAAGGCGAUGGAGGGGCGGUGGCAGGGCCGGGCUGGGGCUUCUGCGGGGGCCCCCUCGCCACCCUGAGCGGCGUCCUCGUCAACCCGCCAGGCCAGCGCCAGCUGCAGGUCCAGCUCCUCCAGAUUUUCGUCCUCGGGGCUCUCGGGCAGCUCCCGGGGGCCAUCCUCCUGGUCCGGCUUCGGGCCGAAUGCCCAGUCUGAGGCAGGAGGCUGGUGAGGAGCAUCCCCAGGCCCGGCCACCCUCUGCCCCCUCCCUGGCAAGGAGGGGCCCUCGGACACCCCCCCACUAAGUGGCCCAGCACUAGCCCAAGCCAGGCUCGUAGUGGGUAGUGGCUCACCGGCCAGGUCGUGGGCGAGGUCCUUGAUGAGAUGCCCGACAAUGGCGUAGGCUACGGCCACCACCACGAACGCAGCCAGAAGCAGGUACAGCGCGUACCUGGGGAGGCGGAUGGUGUCCAGCGGCGGUG